rnacentral:rRNA from 1 species
AUUGAACGCUGGCGGCAUGCUUUACACAUGCAAGUCGAACGGUAGCAGGGUGCUUGCACCGCUGACGAGUGGCGAACGGGUGAGUAAUGCGUCGGAACGUGCCGAGUAGUGGGGGAUAACGCAGCGAAAGUUGUGCUAAUACCGCAUACGUACUGAGGUAGAAAGUGGGGGACCUUCGGGCCUCACGCUAUUCGAGCGGCCGACGUCGGAUUAGCUAGUAGGUGAGGUAAAGGCUCACCUAGGCGACGAUCAGUAGCGGGUCUGAGAGGAUGGUCCGCCACACUGGGACUGAGACACGGCCCAGACUCCUACGGGAGGCAGCAGUGGGGAAUUUUGGACAAUGGGCGAAAGCCUGAUCCAGCCAUGCCGCGUGUCUGAAGAAGGCCUUCGGGUUGUAAAGGACUUUUGUCAGGGAGGAAAUCCCUAGUGCUAAUAACACUGGGGGAUGACAGUACCUGAAGAAUAAGCACCGGCUAACUACGUGCCAGCCGCCGCCGUAA